rnacentral:tRNA from 1 species
GGGGUUGUGGCUCAGGUAGAGUGCUUGCCUAGCAUACAUGAGGGACUGGGUUUGAUCCUCAGCACCUCUG